UUAAGCGACUAAGCGUACACGGUGGAUGCCCUGGCAGUCAGAGGCGAUGAAGGACGUGCUAAUCUGCGAAAAGCGUCGGUAAGGUGAUAUGAACCGUUAUAACCGGCGAUGUCCGAAUGGGGAAACCCAGUGCAAUUCGUUGCACUAUCGUUAACUGAAUACAUAGGUUAACGAGGCGAACCGGGGGAACUGAAACAUCUAAGUACCCCGAGGAAAAGAAAUCAACCGAGAUUCCCCCAGUAGCGGCGAGCGAACGGGGAGCAGCCCAGAGUCUGAAUCAGCUUGUGUGUUAGUGGAACGGUCUGGAAAGUCCGACGGUACAGGGUGAUAGUCCCGUACACCAAAAUGCACAGGCUGUGAACUCGAAGAGUAGGGCGGGACACGUGGUAUCCUGUCUGAAUAUGGGGGGACCAUCCUCCAAGGCUAAAUACUCCUGACUGACCGAUAGUGAACCAGUACCGUGAGGGAAAGGCGAAAAGAACCCCGGCGAGGGGAGUGAAAAAGAACCUGAAACCGUGUACGUACAAGCAGUGGGAGCACCUUCGGGUGUGACUGCGUACCUUUUGUAUAAUGGGUCAGCGACUUAUAUUCUGUAGCAAGGUUAACCGUAUAGGGGAGCCGCAGGGAAACCGAGUCUUAACUGGGCGUUAAGUUGCAGGGUAUAGACCCGAAACCCGGUGAUCUAGCCAUGGGCAGGUUGAAGGUUGGGUAACACUAACUGGAGGACCGAACCGACUAAUGUUGAAAAAUUAGCGGAUGACUUGUGGCUGGGGGUGAAAGGCCAAUCAAACCGGGAGAUAGCUGGUUCUCCCCGAAAGCUAUUUAGGUAGCGCCUCGUGAACUCAUCUUCGGGGGUAGAGCACUGUUUCGGCUAGGGGGUCAUCCCGACUUACCAACCCGAUGCAAACUACGAAUACCGAAGAAUGUUAUCACGGGAGACACACGGCGGGUGCUAACGUCCGUCGUGAAGAGGGAAACAACCCAGACCGCCAGCUAAGGUCCCAAAGUCAUGGUUAAGUGGGAAACGAUGUGGGAAGGCACAGACAGCCAGGAUGUUGGCUUAGAAGCAGCCAUCAUUUAAAGAAAGCGUAAUAGCUCACUGGUCGAGUCGGCCUGCGCGGAAGAUGUAACGGGGCUAAACCAUGCACCGAAGCUGCGGCAGCGACACUAUGUGUUGUUGGGUAGGGGAGCGUUCUGUAAGCCUGCGAAGGUGUGCUGUGAGGCAUGCUGGAGGUAUCAGAAGUGCGAAUGCUGACAUAAGUAACGAUAAAGCGGGUGAAAAGCCCGCUCGCCGGAAGACCAAGGGUUCCUGUCCAACGUUAAUCGGGGCAGGGUGAGUCGACCCCUAAGGCGAGGCCGAAAGGCGUAGUCGAUGGGAAACAGGUUAAUAUUCCUGUACUUGGUGUUACUGCGAAGGGGGGACGGAGAAGGCUAUGUUAGCCGGGCGACGGUUGUCCCGGUUUAAGCAUGUAGGCUGAUUGUCCAGGCAAAUCCGGAUAAUCAAGGCUGAGGUGUGAUGACGAGGCACUACGGUGCUGAAGUAACAAAUGCCCUGCUUCCAGGAAAAGCCUCUAAGCAUCAGGUAACAUCAAAUCGUACCCCAAACCGACACAGGUGGUCAGGUAGAGAAUACCAAGGCGCUUGAGAGAACUCGGGUGAAGGAACUAGGCAAAAUGGUGCCGUAACUUCGGGAGAAGGCACGCUGGUGUGUAGGUGAAGUCCCUGCGGAUGGAGCUGAGACCAGUCGAAGAUACCAGCUGGCUGCAACUGUUUAUUAAAAACACAGCACUGUGCAAACACGAAAGUGGACGUAUACGGUGUGACGCCUGCCCGGUGCCGGAAGGUUAAUUGAUGGGGUUAUCCGUAAGGAGAAGCUCUUGAUCGAAGCCCCGGUAAACGGCGGCCGUAACUAUAACGGUCCUAAGGUAGCGAAAUUCCUUGUCGGGUAAGUUCCGACCUGCACGAAUGGCGUAAUGAUGGCCAGGCUGUCUCCACCCGAGACUCAGUGAAAUUGAACUCGCUGUGAAGAUGCAGUGUACCCGCGGCAAGACGGAAAGACCCCGUGAACCUUUACUAUAGCUUGACACUGAACAUUGAGCCUUGAUGUGUAGGAUAGGUGGGAGGCUUUGAAGCGUGGACGCCAGUCUGCGUGGAGCCAACCUUGAAAUACCACCCUUUAAUGUUUGAUGUUCUAACGUUGGCCCCUGACCGGGGUUGCGGACAGUGUCUGGUGGGUAGUUUGACUGGGGCGGUCUCCUCCCAAAGCGUAACGGAGGAGCACGAAGGUUAGCUAAUCCUGGUCGGACAUCAGGAGGUUAGUGCAAUGGCAUAAGCUAGCUUGACUGCGAGCGUGACGGCGCGAGCAGGUGCGAAAGCAGGUCAUAGUGAUCCGGUGGUUCUGAAUGGAAGGGCCAUCGCUCAACGGAUAAAAGGUACUCCGGGGAUAACAGGCUGAUACCGCCCAAGAGUUCAUAUCGACGGCGGUGUUUGGCACCUCGAUGUCGGCUCAUCACAUCCUGGGGCUGAAGUAGGUCCCAAGGGUAUGGCUGUUCGCCAUUUAAAGUGGUACGCGAGCUGGGUUUAGAACGUCGUGAGACAGUUCGGUCCCUAUCUGCCGUGGGCGCUGGAGAAUUGAGGGGGGCUGCUCCUAGUACGAGAGGACCGGAGUGGACGCAUCACUGGUGUUCGGGUUGUCAUGCCAAUGGCACUGCCCGGUAGCUAAAUGCGGAAGAGAUAAGUGCUGAAAGCAUCUAAGCACGAAACUUGCCCCGAGAUGAGUUCUCCCUGAGACUAUAAGUCUCCUGAAGGAACGUUAAAGACGAUGACGUUGAUAGGCCGGGUGUGUAAGCGCAGCGAUGCGUUGAGCUAACCGGUACUAAUGAACCGUGAGGCUUAACCUU
rnacentral:rRNA from 8 species